GAGCCACUAACAAGUCGUCCAGAUAUCAACAAUAGUCCCGGAUAUCAGUAAAAGGUUACGGAUAUCAACACUGGGCUCGUAGCCCACGCCAAGCAGAGUGUACCACCUCAAAUCUCCAGCCUCGUGUAUUAUUUAAAAACUCGGAAGCCCAUGCUGGCUGACGUGGUUCUAGCCGGUUCUGUUCACACAUGAGGUGGCAUUGUCACAUUGACUGCACUUGUGUGUCCUAAUGUCGACGUCCUCUCGCUACGUGGCA
rnacentral:lncRNA from 1 species